rnacentral:rRNA from 1 species
UUAUUAAUCCCUAACACCUGUGCAUUUUGUCGCUCCGGCGAUUAUUAUAAACAACAGUGUAAUGAAUGUAAAGUAUUAUAACAAAUACAACUUUCAACAACGGAUCUCUUGGCUCUCGCAUCGAUGAAGAACGCAGCGAAAUGCGAUAAGUAAUGUGAAUUGCAGAAUUCAGUGAAUCAUCGAAUCUUUGAACGCACAUUGCGCCUUUUGGUAUUCCGAAAGGCAUGCCUGUUUGAGUGUCAUACAGACUCUCAUAUGCAGUUUUCUGUAUAUGAGUUUUGGACGCUGCCGGUUACGGCUCGUCUUAAAUGUCUAAGUGGAAUGCGUAAUAAGUUUUCGCUCCCUCCACUCUAAUAAACUUUUAGUUUAGACCUCAAAUCAGGUAGGACUACCC